ACUUCUUGCAGUGGCCCCUGAGAGAAGUUAUGUGUGAAUAUCAACUUUAUCACAAAGAACUUGCAGGAGAGCAGCAAUUUUUUCCAAAACAAAAUUGGAUUAGUUUGACGUAUGGAAGAUGGCUAUUUUUGAUGCUGUGAGGAUUCAGUGAGGAAACAUAUUUUUCAAGAGAAUGUGCACAGCAACUUUCAACAACCACAGACAGUUGGCUUUAGGAGGUCAUUUCAUGGCUGGGAGAUAUGGAAGUGGUUUGAGGAUGUGAUUUUUAUGGAUGGAAAACUAUGCCUUUGGUUCUAAGGAAACUCAUUUUUAUUGGAGAAAUGAGACAGAACAGUACAUGAGUACAACUGAAGGUUGUUAUAGUUAUUUUUCCCCACACUUCCACCUGACCCCCAACCCUCUGAAGGACAAUAAGAAGUGCUUCUUGGUGAAGUUACAGUGAAAGCUGCUAUAAUGUUGUGUGGUUUCCACCGGCAACCUUCAGUCUCAAAGAUGGAAAUUUAUUCAUUCUGUACAUCUAUGCGCAGCUCCAGAGAUUUUAAGAGUAUCUUAGUCUAAGGAGAGCUGGUGAGAGAGAACUUUUUCUGCAGUGCGUAAGGCCAGAAGAGAGCAUGUAGCCUGACCUUCUGUAAAUGUCAAACCUUA
rnacentral:lncRNA from 1 species